CCUACGGGAGGCAGCAGUGAGGAAUAUUGGUCAAUGGACGAGAGUCUGAACCAGCCAAGUAGCGUGAAGGAUGACGGCCCUAUGGUUUGUAAACUUCUUUUGUAUGGGAAUAAGCUGUUCCACGUGUGGGUUUUUGUAUGUACCCUAUGAAUAAGGAUCGGCUAACUCCGUGCCAGCAGCCGCGGUAAUACGGAGGAUACGAGCGUUAUCCGGAUUUAUUGGGUUUAAAGGGUGCGUAGGUGGAUUGUGAAGUCAGGUGUGAAAGUUUGGGGCUCAACCGUAAAAUUGCAGUUGAAACUGGAAGUCUUGAGUAGAGUAGAGGUGGGCGGAAUGCGUGGUGUAGCGGUGAAAUGCUUAGAUAUCACGAAGAACUCCGAUUGCGAAGGCAGCUUACUGGACUGCAACUGACACUGAGGCUCGAAAGUGUGGGUAUCAAACAGGAUUAGAUACCCCAGUAGUC
rnacentral:rRNA from 1 species